GUUAGCAUAGCUUAGCUGCAAUAUCUUUGUUUCGCUCAAACUAUUGAAUGCACGAGAGUUUAUUAUAACCUACGAGUAUCUUUCACUUUUUGGUCAUAGCACCACUACUUGAACGCUUACUCUUACUAUUCUUCUCAAGUUCUACCUCUUUUGAAGUCACAACUAUUCUUGAAUUUAUCACAACUAUUCUUGAAUGUACGAAAGUAAACAGCUAUAAACUAAUUUCAUUUUCUUUAAAUCAUACUUUGGGGAGAGGAUCUUUGAACCUUAUUUGAGCUCCUCUUCCUCUUUAUAGACAAAGAAAGGAAAAGGAGAACUCCUUUUUUUUCAAUCUAGGUCCAGCCUCACUUGCAUUCAGUUAUCAAUUUUCAUUUACAUACUUAUGUGCAAUAUCCAACACAUAUUAAAGCACUUAGCGAAAUAUCCAUCUUUCUUGGGGCAUUGGUUGUGCUAUCAGAAACAGACCACUGUAUUACUUGAUGUGUUACUGAGAUCACCUAUGCAAUACUACUUGCUAAACCAUCAAAACAAGAAAGUACAAUAAUUCAAAGUAAAGGAAAACUUUUGCUCUAAUUGAGACCACUAAAUUCAAUUUUGUCAAUGAGAAAAUUUGGCAAGAUAGUGUACAGAGCUCAGACAAGAGGGGUUGCUCUAAUGGUAAGCAACCCCCACUUCCAACCGAGAGGUUGUGAGUUNNNNNNNNNNNNNNNNNNNNNNNNNNNNCUUCCAACCGAGAGGUUGUGAGUUCGAGUCUCCCCAAGAGCAAGGUGGGAAGUUCUUGGAGGGAAGGAUGCCGGGGGUCUAUUUAGAAACAGCCUCUCCACCCAAGGGGUAAGGUUUGCGUAUAUACUACCCUCCCCAGACCCCACUAAGUGGGAUUAUACUGGGUUGUUGUUGUUGUUGUAGUGUACGGAGCUCAAUGUGGAGUGAUGUAUCACUCCCUAAAUAAUGGUUGCCCCAUUGCCUGUUAAAAGAGCUAGUUUCUCUCUGCUACUUGUGAUGGACCAAAUGUGGGUACAGUCCCUUUAUAUGCUCUGGCAUAAAGUCAUGCCUUGUCAAAAUUCCAACUAUUGGAUCCCUC
rnacentral:lncRNA from 1 species